rnacentral:rRNA from 1 species
AGAACGAACGCUGGCGGCAGGCUUAACACAUGCAAGUCGAGCGCCCCGCAAGGGGAGCGGCAGACGGGUGAGUAACGCGUGGGAACAUACCCUCCGGUUCGGAAUAGCUCAGGGAAACUUGGAUUAAUACCGGAUACGGCCUAGCGGCGAAAGAUUCAUCGCCGGAGGAUUGGCCCGCGUUCGAUUAGCUAGUUGGUGAGGUAACGGCUCACCAAGGCGACGAUCGAUAGCUGGUCUGAGAGGAUGAUCAGCCACAUUGGGACUGAGACACGGCCCAAACUCCUACGGGAGGCAGCAGUGGGGAAUAUUGGACAAUGGGCGCAAGCCUGAUCCAGCCAUGCCGCGUGAGUGAUGACGGCCUUAGGGUUGUAAAGUCCUUUUAACGGGGAAGAUAAUGACGGUACCCGUAGAAUAAGCCCCGGCUAACUUCGUGCCAGCAGCCGC